CUACGGGGUGCCCCAGUGAGGAAUAUUGCACAAUGGGGGAAACUCUGAUGCAGCAACGCCGCGUGGAGGAUGACGCAUUUCGGUGUGUAAACUCCUUUUAUAUGUCAAGAAAAUGACGGUAGCAUAUGAAUAAGCACCGGCUAACUCCGUGCCAGCAGCCGCGGUAAUACGGAGGGUGCAAGCGUUACUCGGAAUCACUGGGCGUAAAGGACGCGUAGGCGGGAUAUCAAGUCAGGUGUGAAAUCCUACAGCUUAACUGUAGAACUGCACUUGAAACUGGUAACCUAGAGUAUGGGAGGGGGAGAUGGAAUUAGUGGUGUAGGGGUAAAAUCCGUAGAUAUCACUAGGAAUACCUAAAGCGAAGGCGAUCUCCUGGAACAUAACUGACGCUAAGGCGUGAAAGCGUGGGGAGCAAACAGGAUUAGAUACCCCGGUAGUC
rnacentral:rRNA from 1 species